CAUUUCCCUCUGUUGAAAUACAUUAGUUACUAUGGAAACGUCAUGUCCCCCACGUGGAUGGAGUGUGUUGACAUCUACAAUUGCAAAGCACAAGCACGGGAAACUGAGUGUCCUGGCCGGAGAAAUACCUGAAGGGUCAGCAGGGAAAUAUUGACUUGAUGCACAACACACCUGCCAGGAUGGGGCCAACCUGCUCGCGGAUCAGAGGUUCCAGAAAACAGAAUGGAAGCCCAGCUGCAGGAUGGGCUCCCUCUGGGGUUGAGCAGUUCCCUGACUGCCGGCAUGGAGCCCAGUGCCCCCAUCCUUGGUGGUAUCUGCUGUUGCCAGCUCCCUUCACCCAGAACUGCCCCCAGACAACCGUAACACAGCUGGAGAGCAAACAGAAAUCAAAUUCGUCCUAUCUUCCUUUAUUUGGCCAUCGGAAGGGGCAAUUUUUGCUGCUGGAGCUGUUAACAAGGCCAUGAAAUCUCUUUGUAGACGCCCGCCACCCCUUGGAGUGCCAGACUGACCUUGUGACCUCAGGGAGUAAGAUGCCCAUCCCACCCAGGAGUUCCCACCAGCAGCUAAAAGGGCUAAAACAUUAUACGGUCUCA